UAGGGAAUCUUCGGCAAUGGGGGCAACCCUGACCGAGCAACGCCGCGUGAGUGAAGAAGGUUUUCGGAUCGUAAAGCUCUGUUGUAAGAGAAGAACGUGUGUGAGAGUGGAAAGUUCACACAGUGACGGUAACUUACCAGAAAGGGACGGCUAACUACGUGCCAGCAGCCGUGGUAAUACGUAGGUCCCGAGCGUUGUCCGGAUUUAUUGGGCGUAAAGCGAGCGCAGGCGGUUUAAUAAGUCUGAAGUUAAAGGCAGUGGCUUAACCAUUGUUCGCUUUGGAAACUGUUAAACUUGAGUGCAGAAGGGGAGAGUGGAAUUCCAUGUGAAGCGGUGAAAUGCGUAGAUAUAUGGAGGAACACCGGUGGCGAAAGCGGCUCUCUGGUCUGUAACUGACGCUGAAGCUCGAAAGCGUGGGGAGCAAACAGG
rnacentral:rRNA from 1 species